AUGGUUCUAAUCUCCCGGCCAGGGCCUCCAUCCCAGGGACCCGCUCCAUGGCCGCAGCUAAAAUGGGCAUCAGCAGUUGUGCGUCUGACCGGGUGUGUGCUGGUUUCCGGGAGGCCCUUUCCCGCCGCCAUCUGUACCACGGGUUCCCUGCUCCAGCGGUCUGCAGAGGGAUACUUCAGAAACUGGUUACUUAGGACACUGGUACAACUCAGCAGCGAAAGGGCUGAUGUUGGGAUGCUAUGAAUUUAUGAAUUAACUAAACACUUGUCUAAAGAAUUAGUUGUUUUUCUUUUCAAAUAAAG
rnacentral:lncRNA from 9 species